rnacentral:lncRNA from 1 species
AUGAGCAUGACAAAACUUAAACUCAGAAUCCUUUACUGGAUACCAUGUUAAAAUAAUAAAAAAUAAUCAUAUUUUUUCGAACUAUAUUUUUAAUAUUUAUACUUUAAGCCUUUAUUUGGUUGGGGGUUAAGACGUAGAACAACCUCUUAACUCUCAUAUUAUCUCCAAACACCUUAAAAAAUAAGUGGGGUUAGCUAAUCCCACCUCAAAUGGGCUAUCCCGAAUUAACUAAUCUUACCUAACCCCCACCAAAUUCCAACCGAACACUAUUUUUUAUUCAUAAUAAUUCACUAUCCUUGUUAUCCCACCUAUUCCAACCAAACAUUAUUUUUCACUAUCCUGAAUUAACUCCAACUCCCAAUUAAACACAAAAUUACUCUAACUCCACCUUAACCCUGAACUUAAUCCAAUUUCUAGAAUAACUAAUUUUUUUUUUAACCCCAAAUCAAACGGUAGCUAACGAUAUUUGAUGCUCCCUACCCAAAUAAAGAGGUGAGUACACGAUACAAAAGCUGUAGCUAAGAAAGAGCCAAAUAGAAAGAAAACACCAUAUCCCUACACUUUGGCUCUAGGACUGGGCAAUCGUGACCCUUCACCUAACUACGCGGUUUCCGAAAACAGCCUUUUCCUACCUCUUACGCAACUCAUAUCACCAUCAUUUUCUUCUCUAUCAUUCUCUUUUUUUCUUUUUUUUUUUAAAAAAAACUUCAAAUAUCGUUUCUGUAAUUUCUUUUUUUUUUAUUUUAAUAUUUUAUGAUUUAAAGUAUAUUAAUUUAGUAGCUCAUAAUUUUUAUUCUUUUUAUUAUUCUCUCCACGAAUUUUUUUCGUUAAAUUAGUGACAAAAUUAAAACUGAAAGUUAUCAAAGUGAAUAUUCAAUAAACCUAAAUGCAGUAUCUGAAGUUUUUUGUAUAUAAUUUAACGAAAUGUUAAUGAAGGAGCCGACAAAAAGAGAAAAAUAAAACUACAAAAUACUAAAGUGAGAAAGAAUGAAACCACCGGAGUGACUUUUGGGAUGCAUUUGGUUCGCACUAUGGAAGAUUACUAGCAAUAAAAAGAUAUCCAAUAAUUUUAUUUCUAUGCAUCCUAUUACUAAGAAUAUGGUAUUUCCGUGUUUGGUUUGCACGAUUAUAUUAUUUAGUCAUGUUAUUUAAAUUUACAAAAAUAUAUAAUUUAUUUAUUUAUUUUUUUAAUUAAUUUUAAAUAGUGCUAUUAAAAUUUUCAACUCCUUUUUAGAAAAAGGAAGAGAAAACAUAGGUUAGAGAAUGGGAGCAUAAUUAAAAAAAUAAGAAGAGAAAUAGAGUCGAGAUUGGAGGGAGUGAGAGAAUAGAGAUUUUAGAAAAAGAGGGUGAGAGAGAGCUUAGUUUAGAGAGAGAAAAAGAAAUGAAGUUUAGAAACAAAAAGAUAAGUUUAGAGUAAGAUAUAAAAUUAGAAUGUAAAGAAAAAUAAUACCAACUAGCCAGCGGAUAGGAAAAAAGAAAGAGAUUAGACAUAUUAUGAUUACCCCAAUCCAUUAAUAUAAGGAUAUCCAUCCUUCCUCAAAGGAAUGAGAUUAGCACUUUGAGAUGAAUCUCAUUCCCAAGUAAAUCUAAUAUUACCAACUAGAUUACUCAGUGCGUUUAGCCAAAUAUCGUCAUAUUUUUUUAUACCUAUUGUAUUAUUAGGAAUCUUAAAAAGAUAGCGUGAACCAAACGCAACUUUAAAAUUUAUUCUUUUUUUUUAAUAUGCAUGUAGACCCUC